rnacentral:lncRNA from 10 species
AGAGUAAGAAAAUGAGAAAAGGGUAUGUAAAUAGGCAACGGAAAAAAGCACCAAGGCUCUGGACAGCUAUAUGCAAGUCAAUCUGUAACGGGGAGCUUAAGUCUCCAAUUGAAACUUGAUCUCUGUAACUUACUCCAUUGCAAAUGUCACUACGUGAAUCUACCUAUGCAAUGGUUUGCGCGUAUGAAACCUGCUCCGCAGAUCCAUCCAUUCUUUCUUGAAUGUACAGUCAACAGACUGAGCACAUAACCUCGAAAGGGUAUAAGUAGGCUCUCAGUAUAAAGGUAUCUCCAGGGCGUCUUUAGGGUCUUCGCCGAACCCAAAAGUUCUCUGGGUGUUUUGAAUGAACACCCUUGGAUCGGACCCAGAAAUGACCCACCUCAAACCUAAUUUCGGGUUUCAUUCUAAGGCGAAUGGAGCUCGGCCACGUCCAGAAACACUUCUGUAGCAGUUAGGCUGCCCGAUCAGGGGGGUUUGCCUUACUGUUCAAUGGCACAGGGGCCCAUCCCACCCCGGCCCCCUGCGGGCAAGAACUGGGGCUGGACGACCUCACACGGCCAAGAAUGGGAGGCACAGAAAAAAGGUCCUCUUUCCCCCGACGGCAGUGGGUUCUUCGUUUCUAAUACAUCUUCAGAAAUUUGAAAUGGCAGUUGCAAUGGCCAUUUGCAGUCUUAUGCUAGCUUCAAGAAGUCAAUUUAUUUCAAGAGUCAGUACUGAGAAAGUCUUGACAAGGAAUAGGGCAAACGGUAGCAUUUUUUUCAGCCACCGGCCUUGCACUAUCAAGCUAAACUCUUCAAUCGCACAGCGAUGGCGAGUUCAUUUCUACGGCCUUCUACGUAACCUAGGGGCACAAUCAAUGUCUUGUGGUUGCCAGUGAAUUAAAUGUGCUUGAUAACACAUUUUGUUGUAUCUGUGACUUUUUUUGUUUAAAUUAGAAUUCUUAAACUGUGGUUGUUUAAAAUAUAUUAAAUAUAAUUAUUGAACAUUUUUGAAGAGCCUGUGGCUCAGAUUGAAAGGCAGGGCUCGA